GCGUGUGCCAGCAGCAGGAGGUCGGCGUUGUCGAAGAGGGCGGCGUGGGGACCCUCGGCCAGCGCCAGGUACGCGCCCCCCAGCGCCGCCCCCAGCAGCAGCUUCCCCGCGCUGCUCAGCUGCAGGAAGGCGGCGGCGGCCAGCAGGCUGAGCACCACGCUGAGCGUCACGUACUGCGGGCACGGGGGGGGGAAAGGGGGGGGACACGGCGCCGUGAGGACCCACACCGAUGGGGACCCCACGGCAGCGCCCUAUGGGCCUGGGGACAUCGCCCCUGCGGGGACCCCGUGGCAGCACCCAGAGGAAGCCAGCCCCCUGGGGACCCCAUGGCAGCACCCAUGGGAACCUCAUCUCCCUUGGGACCCCAUGGCAGCGCCCUAUGGGCCUGGGGACAUCGCCUCUGCGGGGACCCCGUGGCAGCACCCAUAUGAACCUGACCUCCCUGGGGACCCCAUGGCAGCGCCCUAUGGGCCUGGUGACACUGCACCUUUCAGGACCCCAUGGCAGCACCUAUAGGAACCCAGCCCCCUGGGGACCCCAUGGCAGCACCCAUAGGAUCCUCAUCUCCCCAUGAGUUCCUCCCCAUCUUGGGACCCCAUGGCAGCACCCUAUGGGCCUGGGGACACUGCACCUUUCAGGACCCUAUGGCAGCACCUGUAGGAACCUGACCUCUCCGGGGACCCCAUGGCAGCACCCAUAGGAACCCAGCCCCCUGGGGACCCUAUGGUGGGACCUAUAGGAACCUGACCUCCCUGGGGACCCCAUGGCAGCGCCCUAUGGGAACCCAGCCCCCCAGGGACCCCAUGGCAGCACCCAUGGGAACCUCAUCUCCCUGGGGACCCCACGGCAGCGCCCUAUGGCCCUGGGGACGCUGCACCUUUCAGGACCCUACAGCAUCCCCUUU
rnacentral:lncRNA from 1 species